rnacentral:rRNA from 1 species
GAUGAACGCUGGCGGCGUGCCUAAUACAUGCAAGUCGAGCGAACGGACGAGAAGCUUGCUUCUCUGAUGUUAGCGGCGGACGGGUGAGUAACACGUGGAUAACCUACCUAUAAGACUGGGAUAACUUCGGGAAACCGGAGCUAAUACCGGAUAAUAUUUUGAACCGCAUGGUUCAAAAGUGAAAGACGGUCUUGCUGUCACUUAUAGAUGGAUCCACGCUGCAUUAGCUAGUUGGUAAGGUAACGGCUUACCAAGGCAACGAUGCAUAGCCGACCUGAGAGGGUGGUCGGCCACACUGGAACUGAGACACGGUCCAGACUCCUACGGGAGGCAGCAGUAGGGAAUCUUCCGCAAUGGGCGAAAGCCUGACGGAGCAACGCCGCGUGAGUGAUGAAGGUCUUCGGAUCGUAAAACUCUGUUAUUAGGGAAGAACAUAUGUGUAAGUAACUGUGCACAUCUUGACGGUACCUAAUCAGAAAGCCACGGCUAACUACGUG